AUUGAACGCUGGCGGCAUGCUUUACACAUGCAAGUCGAACGGCAGCGCGGGCUUCGGCCUGGCGGCGAGUGGCGAACGGGUGAGUAAUGCAUCGGAACGUGCCCAGUAGUGGGGGAUAGCCCGGCGAAAGCCGGAUUAAUACCGCAUACGACCUGAGGGUGAAAGCGGGGGACCGAAAGGCCUCGCGCUAUUGGAGCGGCCGAUGUCGGAUUAGCUAGUUGGUGGGGUAAAGGCUUACCAAGGCGACGAUCCGUAGCUGGUCUGAGAGGACGACCAGCCACACUGGGACUGAGACACGGCCCAGACUCCUACGGGAGGCAGCAGUGGGGAAGUUUGGACAAUGGGGGCAACCCUGAUCCAGCCAUGCCGCGUGCGGGAAGAAGGCCUUCGGGUUGUAAACCGCUUUUGUUCGGGAAGAAAUCCUCUGGGCUAAUACCCCGGGGGGAUGACGGUACCGGAAGAAUAAGCACCGGCUAACUACGU
rnacentral:rRNA from 1 species